UUCCUGUCUCUGUGCCAUCCUCUUCAGCCCGAUCCACCAAGGAACACGUCCUCACAUCCAUGUAUGCCAGAGCUGUGUGGGUGGAGCAUGAUAAAGAAGUGGAGGGAACGGCGCCAGACAACUGGAUUGAUGCUGAAAAAAAAAUCAUUAGAUGGCCAAAAAAAGGGGAAAAGGCAGCUUUCCUCAAUCGGCACUCCCCUCCGGAUGACUGGAUGACGUUCACCUUGGUGAAGCGUAAAAUGACCUCCAAAUCUGAUGAUUUGGAGGAGGAAGAAGAGAACAUGACAGGUAACGGUUUCCUAAGCUUGCUGACACUCCAC